AACGAACGCUGGCGGCGUGCCUAACACAUGCAAGUCGAGCGGUAAGGCCCUUUCGGGGGUACGACGAGCGGCGAACGGGUGAGUAACACGUGGGUGACCUGCCCUCAGCUCUGGGAUAAGCCUGGGAAACCGGGUCUAAUACUGGAUAUGACUCCAUGACGCAUGUUGUGGGGUGGAAAGCCUUGUGCGGCUGAGGAUGGGCCCGCGGCCUAUCAGCUUGUUGGUGGGGUGAGGCCUACCAAGGCGACGACGGGUAGCCGGCCUGAGAGGGCGACCGGCCACACUGGGACUGAGACACGGCCCAGACUCCUACGGGAGGCAGCAGUGGGGAAUCUUGCGCAAUGGGCGAAAGCCUGACGCAGCGACGCCGCGUGAGGGAUGAC
rnacentral:rRNA from 1 species